rnacentral:rRNA from 1 species
CGUGAAAUGCGAUGGGGGGACGGAUCGCGGAAGGUUGUCCGGGUGUUGGAAGUCCCGGUCGCUGCAUUGGAGAGGGUAGCCUGGCAAAUCCGGCUACAGGACUCAAGGGUGUGGCGCGAGCUUCUUCGGAAGCGAAGCAACUGGAAGGGGUUCCAGGAAAAGCCUCUAAGCUUCAGUUUCACGUUGACCGUACCGCAAACCGACACAGGUGGGCGAGAUGAGUAUUCUAAGGCGCUUGAGAGAACUCGGGAGAAGGAACUCGGCAAAUUGGUACCGUAACUUCGGGAUAAGGUACGCCCUGGUAGCUUGAUGCGCCUGCGCGCAGAGGGUGAAGGGGUUGCAAUAAACUGGUGGCUGCGACUGUUUAAUAAAAACACAGCACUCUGCAAACACGAAAGUGGACGUAUAGGGUGUGACGCCUGCCCGGUGCCGGAAGAUUAAAUGAUGGGGUGCAAGCUCUUGAUUGAAGUCCCGGUAAACGGCGGCCGUAACUAUAACGGUCCUAAGGUAGCGAAAUUCCUUGUCGGGUAAGUUCCGACCUGCACGAAUGGCGUAACGAUGGCCACACUGUCUCCUCCCGAGACUCAGCGAAGUUGAAGUGUUUGUGAUGAUGCAAUCUCCCCGCGGCUAGACGGAAAGACCCCAUGAACCUUUACUGUAGCUUUGCAUUGGACUUUGAACCGGUUUGUGUAGGAUAGGUGGGAGGCUGUGAAGCGGGAACGCUAGUUUCCGUGGAGCCGUCCUUGAAAUACCACCCUGAUCUGUUUGAGGUUCUAACCUUGGCCCGUGAUCCGGGUCGGGGACAGUGCAUGGUAGGCAGUUUGACUGGGGCGGUCUCCUCCCAAAGGGUAACGGAGGAGUACGAAGGUACGCUAGGUACGGUCGGAAAUCGUGCUGAUAGUGCAAUGGCAUAAGCGUGCUUGACUGUGAGACUCACAAGUCGAACAGGUGCGAAAGCAGGUCAUAGUGAUCCGGUGGUUCUGUAUGGAAGGGCCAUCGCUCAACGGAUAAAAGGUACUCUGGGGAUAACAGGCUGAUACCGCCCAAGAGUUCAUAUCGACGGCGGUGUUUGGCACCUCGAUGUCGGCUCAUCUCAUCCUGGGGCUGUAGCCGGUCCCAAGGGUAUGGCUGUUCGCCAUUUAAAGAGGUACGUGAGCUGGGUUUAAAACGUCGUGAGACAGUUUGGUCCCUAUCUGCCGUGGGCGCUGGAAGUUUGAGGGGGCCUGCUCCUAGUACGAGAGGACCGGAGUGGACGAACCUCUGGUGUACCGGUUGUGACGCCAGUCGCAUCGCCGGGUAGCUAUGUUCGGAAGAGAUAACCGCUGAAAGCAUCUAAGCGGGAAACUCGCCUCAAGAUGAGACUUCCCCGGGGACUUGAUCCCCUUGAAGGGUCGUUCGAGACCAGGACGUUGAUAGGUCAGGUGUGGAAGCGCAGUAAUGCGUUAAGCUAACUGAUACUAAUUGCCCGUAAGGCUUGAUCCU